rnacentral:misc_RNA from 1 species
AAUUGGAUGAAUAGUUGAACAAUUUUUUUUUUACUAAAGUAUAUUCAGAUUUAGUCUCUAUGUUGCAAAAUUUAUAUUUUUAUCCAAAAAUUAUGUUUUUUAAAAUAAAGUGACCAAUUAAUUAGUUUUCCUAAAAAAGAGACUAAAUAGUAGUGUUUUUCAAAAUACAAUAAUCAACUAAUUAGUUUUCUUAAAUUGAAGGAAUUAAAUAGCAAUUUAACUAGCAUGAAUAAUGAAAAUUUUGACUGAGGGACUAAAUAGUUUAAUAGAAAUAAAAUACAAAGACUAAAUAGUGUAUUUUUCAAAA